rnacentral:rRNA from 1 species
UACGGAGGGUGCAAGCGUUAUCCGGAUUCACUGGGUUUAAAGGGUGCGUAGGUGGGCUGGUAAGUCAGUGGUGAAAUCUCCAGGCUUAACUUGGAAACUGCCAUUGAUACUAUCAGUCUUGAAUACCGUGGAGGUCAGCGGAAUAUGUCAUGUAGCGGUGAAAUGCUUAGAUAUGACAUAGAACACCAAUUGCGAAGGCAGCUGGCUACACGAAUAUUGACACUGAUGCACGAAAGCGUGGGGAGCGAACAGG